rnacentral:rRNA from 1 species
AAACUUUCAACAACGGAUCUCUUGGUUCUGGCAUCGAUGAAGAACGCAGCGAAAUGCGAUAAGUAGUGUGAAUUGCAGAAUUCAGUGAAUCAUCGAAUCUUUGAACGCACAUUGCGCCCUUUGGUAUUCCUUAGGGCAUGUCUGUUCGAGCGUCAUUUGAACCUUCAAGCUUAGCUUGGUGUUGGGCGUCAUUG